UUGUUUUCUCAGAAUCUUCUCUCUCAAUGAACUGAAAUUCAGUUGGGCUCAGAAUGGCCCCUGAGAGGUCCAUGUGCCUCUUACUAUAUUGUUCAAUCCCUAAUUAAAUAGGCUUGUGCCUAUGUGACCUAUCUGCAGCACAGCAGCGGGCAGCCUGAUCUGGUGGGGGCAUCCAGUGCUCGGCAGAGCGUUGGAGACAGAUGGGAUUUAAGGUCUCUUCCAAGCUAAGACAUCCUGUGAUUCUAUGACCACCUAUAAUAGGAUGGCAAGAUGAGGACAGAGCAGACAGUCAGACCAACAAUGAUUGCAGGUUGCCCACUGUAGUGGAAAUGCAGUCAUGGCUUGGACCAGUGAUUGAGCACCUGGUGGGAAAGCAGGAUCCACACAGGGAAGCUCAGGUGCAACCAAUGCACCAGAGUGAAUGGAAGGGAUGGAACCAAGAUCCACCCAUUCCCAGACCUCAUUUAAGGGCUGGCACUGGAGGUAAGGGUAUCUUGUUGGAGAUCUCUGUGUACUUGAGGCCUUAUAAAGGCCUGUUUGAUUUGCAGCAUCGUUCCCACUAUUUAUGGUCAUUGAAUUGAAGAGAAAAUCUGACACUUGAAAAAUUGUACUCUGAAACCUCUACUCUUCACACCAAAGUAAGCAUUCCCGAAGCUGACAUGCCCUGGAAGUUGUGGCUCACAAUACAGAUGGAUAAAUGUAAGACUUCUUCCAUGACAUUUGCUUUAUUCAAACUGCAUCUCCAGUCUGUAACAGAAAUGUCCUAAGAACAUGGCUGUAAUACUUCCUUCAGUAUCUGUACCCCACAUAGAAAAGACUCUUUCUCCGACAGUCUGUCCCUGGAGGAGGCUGAAGCAGAGACUGACUACGCUGCUGAGAACACUCCUUUGAAAGACUGAAAUCCCUCAUAUCCAAAUUAGGGUUUCUUCAAAAGCCAAACAAUGCUUGUGAACUAGAACAAAGCAGAUCUGAUAAAACUUUUCAGCAUGUUCCCCAGUAAUUCCCAGCCUGGCAACGUGCUUCAUCUCUAUGACUAUUAAAAUGUCUCCUUCUCUGCUCAUUGCUUU